CUGCGCGCUCGCGAGUCGGCUUUUUCGCCCUGACCGCGCUCCUGAUGCCUCCCGGCCGCCGUAGGCGAAGGUUCGCGGAAGAGGGGAGCAGGCGCUCACCUGAGCUGACUCAGAAAUUGGAAUGAGUUGUCUGUGGAUCCUGUAAGGAGCCUGGACAUGGUGAAGAGAAUGCCUUGACCAUCAGGAGACAGCUUAGCUUGUUGAAUCUUGAUCACUUCUUCUGACCGCUUUGGAUCUUAAAAGAACAAGUAGCUCAGGAACAUAACUCUGAAGUGCUAUCAAAUGUGCAGUCGGCCUGGGCACUCAUGUGUUUGGGAUCAAGACAGAAUAAGGAGGUGUGUGUUAGAGAGAGGAUGCCUGUGUCUCACGUUGUAAUGUCCCAAGACCUGGGCUGCUCCCGUAGUUGCCCAGUUUCAUCUCCUAUGCCAG
ensembl:lncRNA DYNLRB2-AS1 DYNLRB2 antisense RNA 1